AUAUCAAUAAGCGGAGGAAAAGAAACUAACAAGGAUUCCCCUAGUAACUGCGAGUGAAGCGGGAAAAGCUCAAAUUUAAAAUCUGGCAGCCUCUGGCUCAUCCGAGUUGUAAUUCUAGAGAAGCGUACUAUCCGCGCUGGACCGUGUACAAGUCUCCUGGAAUGGAGCGUCAUAGAGGGUGAGAAUCCCGUCUUUGACACGGACUGCCAGGGCUUAUGUGAUGCGCUCUCGAAAGAGUCGAGUUGUUUGGGAAUGCAGCUCAAAAGUGGGUGGUGAACUCCAUCUAAAGCUAAAUAUUGGCGAGAGACCGAUAGCGAACAAGUACCGUGAGGGAAAGAUGAAAAGAACUUUGGAAAGAGAGUGUAAACAGUAC
rnacentral:rRNA from 1 species